rnacentral:rRNA from 1 species
GUCCACGCUGUAAACGAUGAGUGCUAGAUGUCGGGAAUUUAUUCUCGGUUUCGCAGCUAACGCAUUAAGCACUCCGCCUGGGGACUACGAUCGCAAGAUUAAAACUCAAAGGAAUUGACGGGGGCUCGCACAAGUGGUGGAGCAUGCGGUUUAAUUCGAUGCUACGCGAAAAACCUUACCAACCCUUGACAUGGUGGUCGCGGGGACCAGAGAUGGACCCCUUCAGUUCGGCUGGACCACACACAGGUGUUGCAUGGCUGUCGU